GAUGAACGCUGGCGGCGUGCUUAACACAUGCAAGUCGAACGAAACACCUUAUUUGAUUUUCUUCGGAACUGAAGAUUUGGUGAUUGAGUGGCGGACGGGUGAGUAACGCGUGGGUAACCUGCCCUGUACAGGGGGAUAACAGUCAGAAAUGACUGCUAAUACCGCAUAAGACCACAGCACCGCAUGGUGCAGGGGUAAAAACUCCGGUGGUACAGGAUGGACCCGCGUCUGAUUAGCUGGUUGGUGAGGUAACGGCUCACCAAGGCGACGAUCCGUAGCCGGGUAGAGAGAGUGAGCGGCCACAUUGGGACGGAGACACGGCCCAAACUCCUACGGGAGGCAGCAGUGGGGAAUAUUGCACAAUGGGGGAAACCCUGAUGCAGCGACGCCGCGUGAGUGAAGAAGUAUUUCGGGAUGUAAAGCUCUAUCAGCAGGGAAGAAAAUGACGGUACCUGACGAAGAAGCCCCGGCUAGCUACGUG
rnacentral:rRNA from 1 species